rnacentral:rRNA from 1 species
AACAAACGCUGGCGGCGUGCUUAACACAUGCAAGUCGCACGAGAAAUCCGGGGCAACCUGGAGAGUAAAGUGGCGCACGGGUGAGUAACACGUGGGUAACCUACCCUUGGAUUGGAGACAACAGUUCGAAAGGACUGCUAAUACCGAAUGUUGUAUAUUUUCCACAUGGAAGAUAUAUUAAAGAUGGCCUCUAUUUAUAAGCUAUCGCUCAAAGAUGGGUCGGCGUCUGAUUAGCGAGUUGGUGGGGUAACGGCCUACCAAGGCGAGGAUCAGUAGCCGGUCUGAGAGGAUGAACGGCCACAUUGGGACUGAGACACGGCCCAGACUCCUACGGGAGGCAGCAGUGGGGAAUCUUCCACAAUGGACGAAAGUCUGAUGGAGCAACGCCGCGUGUGAAGAAGGGUUUCGGCUCGUAAAGCUCUGUUGUCGGGGACGAAUGUGCAUUACUUGAAUAAAGUAGUGUAAUGACGGUACCUGACGAGGAAGCCACGGCCAACUACGUGCCAGCAGCCGCCGUAAUAC